GGUUGACCUCGGAUCAGGUAGGAAUACCCGCUGAACUUAAGCAUAUCAAAGCGCGGAGGAAAAA
rnacentral:rRNA from 1 species